UACGUAGGCAGCAAGCGUUGUUCGGAGUUACUGGGCGUAAAGGGUGUGUAGGCGGUUGUUUAAGGUUGGUGUGAAAUCUCCCGGCUCAACUGGGAGGGUGCGCCGAAUACUGAAUGACUUCGAGUGCGGGAGAGGAUAGUGGAAUUCCUGGUGUAGCGGUGAAAUGCGUAGAUAUCAGGAGGAACACCGGUGGUGUAGACGGCUAUCUGGACCGUAACUGACGCUGAGACACGAAAGCGUGGGUAGCAAACAGG
rnacentral:rRNA from 1 species